ACAAUUAUAAUAAAGUAUAAUUACAAAAUACUUAUAUAAUAUAUUUUCUAAUUAUAAUAAGAUAAAAGUAACUAUAUUUUUUAUUAAAAUAUAAAAAAUAGUAAAUUAUCAUAAGAAAUUAAUGUAAUUUUCAAAAUAUAAAUAUAAUUUAAAAUAUUAAAAAUAGAUUUAUUAAAUGAUUUAUUUUUAUAAUUUAUAAACGAUAUUUAGAAUUUUACUAUAUUAUAUAAAUAGUAGUA
rnacentral:tRNA from 1 species